rnacentral:rRNA from 1 species
UACGGGGGGAGCAAGCGUUGUUCGGAUUUACUGGGCGUAAAGGGCGCGUAGGCGGCCAGUGCAAGUCAGUUGUGAAAUCUCCGAGCUUAACUCGGAAAGGUCAACUGAUACUGCUCGGCUAGAGUGCGGAAGGGGCAACUGGAAUUCUCGGUGUAGCGGUGAAAUGCGUAGAUAUCGAGAGGAACACCGAUGGCGAAGGCAGGUCUCUGGGCCGAUACUGACGCUGAGGAGCGAAAGCGUGGGGGAGCGAACAGG